GUUAGGAAAGCAGAGUCCCGAGCACCCAGCUGAUCUACUGAAUCAGAUCAUCUAUGGGUGGAGCCCAGGAAUCUGCAUUUUAAACAGCAUCCCAACCCCACC
rnacentral:miRNA from 1 species